rnacentral:rRNA from 1 species
GAUGAACGCUGGCGGCGUGCUUAACACAUGCAAGUCGAACGGAGAAAGGGUAGCUUGCUAUCUUUCUUAGUGGCGGACGGGUGAGUAACGCGUGGGUAACCUGCCCUUUGCAGGGGGAUAACAGUGAGAAAUCACUGCUAAUACCGCAUACCAACUUCUUUCGCAUGAAGGAAGUUUGAAAGAUUUAUCGGCAAAGGAUGGGCCCGCGUUGGAUUAGCUAGUUGGUGAGAUAACAGCCCACCAAGGCAACGAUCCAUAGCCGGCCUGAGAGGGUGAACGGCCACACUGGGACUGAGACACGGCCCAGACUCCUACGGGAGGCAGCAGUGGGGAAUAUUGCACAAUGGGCGAAAGCCUGAUGCAGCGACGCCGCGUGAAGGAUGAAGGUCUUCGGAUUGUAAACUUCUAUCAGCAGGGAAGAAAGGGCUUAUAGCCUAUGACGGUACCUGACUAAGAAGCCCCGGCUAACUACGUG